rnacentral:rRNA from 1 species
UGAGUAACGCGUGGGUAACCUACCCCAAAGUCCGGGAUAACAGCGGGAAACCGCUGCUAAUACCGGAUGCCUUUACCUUGGGGCAUCUUGAGGUAAAGAAAGGUAACGCUUUGGGAUGGGCCCGCGUCCCAUUAGCUAGUUGGUGAGGUAACGGCUCACCAAGGCGACGAUGGGUAGCCGGCCUGAGAGGGUGGACGGCCACACUGGGACUGAGACACGGCCCAGACUCCUACGGGAGGCAGCAGUAGGGAAUAUUGCGCAAUGGACGGAAGUCUGACGCAGCGACGCCGCGUGAGUGAUGAAGGUCUUCGGAUCGUAAAGCUCUGUCCUUGGGGAAGAAGGCGAAAGCUUGACGGUACCCAAGAAGAAAGCCCCGGCUAACUACGUGCCAGCAGCCGCGGUAAUACGUAGGGGACGAGCGUUGUCCGGAAUUACUGGGCGUAAAGGGUGCGUAGGCGGCCCUUUAAGUCGGAUGUGAA